AUUCCUUUACAAGAUGUUGUAUGAUAACUUCCUAAGGCUUUCAUCAACAGCCCAACCCAAGUUCUAUCCAAGUUAAGUAAAGAUUAGCAAAUUGCAAUGCACAUUAAAGGACAUGCCAUGCAAGAUUACUGGUGGGACAAGCUAGGUAGAACAAACAAAUAUAAUUAAGAAUAUUCACUCAAAUUUAUUUAUUGCAAUGAAAUUCAGUAAGAAAGAUGUCAUGAAUUUGCAUAACUACUUUGAGUUGUGCUAGCCACAAAGCAAUCCAGUCUUCUUUCUUGAUAAACUGCAUCAUGCUACGGUUGCUAACAUUGUGCAAAUUUAUUGUUUUCAUUGGUGCUCUAGCACCAAAGCAUUCCAUGAAAAAUGCAAGAUAUCAGUGAACUUAAUUUGAGGUUGGCAUGUGUGAACUUGUUCAGGAAAAUGAGCUGCACAUAGUUGGAGUGGAUCCAGAGGGGACUGCAGUGGCUUGGUGAUAUCCUCCUUUCCACAGUGUAGCUUAGUGGCUCUGGCUCCUCUGCAGAGUCCAGACCACACUGCAGAAGCAACAGCCAAGGACUUCAGUCCCUGAAGCAGGUACAGACCACCCCCAAAACCUCCUUCCCCCGCAGCUGCACUUCCCCUCCUUCUGCCUAUUUAUGCUUCUGGAUGCAGAAGAGGCGGCCCACUCACCAUUGCUGCUGUGCUCAGCUGUGUCAAGGGUGGAAAAGCCCCAGAGCCACUACUGCCUUGCUCCAGCUGAGGCUGUGGGGAGAGGCUGCAUGGGAAACUGAGUUCAGCUGGGGACAGUAGCAGCAGGCAGGUUCCCCCUUCCUGCCCAUCCUUCUUAAGUGUUUCCCACCAGCCUAGGAGCAGGUGCAGGAAGGGGAAGCUGUCUGCUACCACUGCUGUCCCUAUCCUAGCCGAGUUCCUUGCACAGCUGCUCUCCAGUUGGGACAGCAGUGGCAGGUGGGUCUCUCCUUCCUGUGGCCAGAGGCAUA